rnacentral:misc_RNA from 1 species
GAUGAAGAACGCAGCGAAAUGCGAUAAGUAAUGUGAAUUGCAGAAUUCAGUGAAUCAUCGAAUCUUUGAACGCACAUUGCGCCCGGUAGUAUUCUGCCGGGCAUGCCUGUUCGAGCGUCAUUUCAACCAUCAAGCCCCAGCGCUUGUGUUGGGGGCCUGCGGCUGCCGCAGCCCCCUAAAAGCAGUGGCGGGCUCGCUAUCACACCGAGUGCAGUAGUUCAUCUUCUCUCCGGUCUUGUGAGGCGGGUUCCGGCCGUGAAACACCCCACUACAUUCUAGGUUGACCUCGGAUCAGGUAGGAAUACCCGCUGAACUUAAGCAUAUCAAUAAGCGGAGGA